rnacentral:piRNA from 1 species
UACUGCAUAAUAACACGUUCUGUGAGCAGU